rnacentral:rRNA from 1 species
AGAGUUUGAUCAUGGCUCAGAAUGAACGUUGGCGGCGUGGAUUAGGCAUGCAAGUCGUACGCAUAGCUUCGGCUAUGAGUGGCGCAAGGGUGAGUAAUGCGAAGGUAACCAACCCUGGUGUUGGGCAUAGCCGCGGGAAACUGCGGGUAAUUCCCAGCGACGUCACGAGAUGGCAUCAUCUUGUGACCAAAGGUGUGAUUCCGCUCUAGGACGGGCCUUCGUGGUAUUAGGUAGUUGGUGAGGUAACGGCUCACCAAGCCGACGAUGCCUACCGGGUGUGAGGGCAUGACCCGGCACACUGGAACUGAGACACUGUCCAGACACCUACGGGUGGCUGCAGUCGAGAAUCUUCGGCAAUGGCGAAAGCCUGACCGAGCGACGCCGCGUGAGGGAUUGAAGGCCUUCGGGUUGUAAACCUCUUUCGUAGAGGAGGAAGGGGCCGUGAAGAACGGUCUUUGACCUAUUCUAGGAAGAAGCUUGGGCUAAGUUCGUG